rnacentral:lncRNA from 1 species
UUUUUUUUUUUUUUUUUUUCUGACUUUGUAUAUCCCUAGAUGCUAGAACUAAAGGGUUGUAAUAAACCAACCAGAAAGAAAUCUUCUGCAGGGUCACUUUUAAAAUUACUAGCUUCAGUUGCCACUUGCAAAAUAGUCAUCGACAUCAACUGCUCACAGAAUAUUGACUCUCCUGCUUCUCCCUCAUCCCCAAAAGUCUGCAAGUAUAUGAAGCAGUGAGGAAUGAAGAGAUGCAAACAAGGAGAGAAGUGAUGGGAGCGUGUUGUUGUGUGUUUGUUGUUUUUUUUUCCAUUUGCCCGAGCAAAGCAGUGGUUGUAGAAGGAGAGGUCUUUCAUAGUUGUGAACUGCUUUGAGAUCAUUAGUCAAAUUGCAUUUUAUAUACAGAAAAUAUUAUGCUAACUGAGAAAAUGGGAGGAACAGGGAAUGUGCAUCUUUAUUCUAACCCAGCAAUUAAAAACCUGCCUCUCCGCUUAAGGAAUUUUUAGACUUUCGUUCACUGUGAUAUCCCAGUACCUGGAAGAGUGCUUUGAACAAAGCAGACAUUCAAUAAAUAUUUGCUGGGUGAAUAAAUCUUAUAUCAGAGAAUCUACAAUGCAUGCACCAGUCAAAAAUUUACCCCAGGAAUGGUCAUCACAGCACAGUUUGCUCCAGAUUCACCAGGGAGAUGAAUGAGAGUGUCUGUUAACAACUCUCUGUGCUCAAGUCUCUGGUGUUCUCUGAGCCAGGCACCCUCAGCUGGUAUCUUACAUAAGUGAACAAAUAGUAAUUGCUUAGAAAGGCUUGAGACUUUCUUCACUUCAAGGCAAGGAUUUCCGGUACAAAAAUAAAUUCAUUCACUCAAAAAAUCAUUUGUGUGUCUACUCUGUAUAAGAUGCCAUGCUGGAGACUAUAGUCCAUACACAGAUAAGACAUAGUCCCUGCCUGAAGGGAGCUUACAAUCUAGUGGGGGAGGUGAGAUAAGGCAUGUCGAGUGCUGCUUUGGGGGCAAAAAUCUAUUCUUUAUCAAAGGGAAGUUUCUGUGGUCUUCAUUAUAUAUUUUUCAUGACUCAAAUCAUCUUCAUUAUUUUCAAUCUUUAUUUCAUAAAAUACCAUGUGACAUCCCUAAGACGUAAAGAUUUCAGCCAGUUAUUUAGCAGAAUUAUUUUUUCUUUUCUUAUGCGUGCAGGAAUAAUAGUAAAAGUGUAGGCAACUAUUAUGAAAUAGAAUGCAUUCCAUGCAGAAUCCAUCCUGUAAAAAGUGUUGUUUCCAUAUUGGCUUCUAUUAUCAAAUCUCUUCAUAACCAAAGACCACUUUCCAACUGCAGGAUUGCUUUUCCACAGUCAGACACCAAACCUCCUUGUCACAUAUAUUAAUUUCAACUAUAGACAGCUAUCCCAUGAGAGAUUCAUCUCUGUAUGUCUUAGCUUUCUCAAUAUUUUUUAUCUGUUGUCUUAACAGUGUUCAACACAGAACUAGGAUAAAUAUUAUAUUUGGCCACUAGAUGGCACUGUCGAACCUGAAAUAGACCAAGCUUUACCAUUCUUGGAAUUUGAACUAUUGGAUUGUUACCGCAUGGUUUCUCAACAUCAGCACUACUGACCUUUGGGGCUGGAUAAUUCGCUGUUGUGGAGGACUAUCCUGCUCACCAUAGGCUGUUUAGCAGCAUCCUCGGCCUCUACUCACUAGAUGUCAGUAGCGGAGCAGCCCCUCCCCAAGUUACCCAAAAUGUCCCCAGACAUUCCCAUAUAUUCUGAGAGGCACGAUCUCCCUUUGCUGAGAACUACUGUGUUGAACAAAUUCAAAUUCUAUUGAAAAUUAAAUUACAAUGUAUACUUAUGUAAGAAAUUUUGGCUCUGCUGGAUAUGGACUCACCCCAAAUCAGAUUCAUCAUCUUCCCUAGUAAUGAACCUGACUAUUAUCCAUGAGGAUGUGGGUGGGUUCAAUCCCUGGCCUUGCUCAGUGGCUUAAGGAUCCAGCAUAACCAUGAGCUGUGGUGUAGGCUGCAGAUACAGCUCAGAUCUGGUGUCACUGUGGCUGUGGCUUAGGCCAGUAGCUGCAACUCCAUUUCACUUCCUAGCCAGAGAAUCUCCGUAUGCCUCGGGGAGCGGCCCAAGAAAAGGCAAAAAGACAAAAAAAAAAAAAAAAAAAAAAAAAAAAAAAAAAAGAAUGAAUUGCUCAGUGUUCCAAAAUUCCAAAGAACCUGAUAUUUCUACACGGAUUCAGUGAGUUAUCCGCAAACUGAAGGUGGAUUCCUAGUAAUUUCCCCACAAUUAGUGAUGCAAGAAUCCAGUGAACUAUAAACUGUAUUGACUAUAGUGGUCACUACCAAAAGAUUACUAAAUAUAUGUGCACACCGAACACACAGUUUUACUGUGUAUUUUAAGGAGAGUUAAAACCCUGAAAUAAUUCAAAUGAGAUAAUUUGAGUGCAACUAUUUUUUUAACACACACUGGUAAAUUAACUUUGGUUUUCUGUGUUUUGAUUUCAGAGACACCUUACCCUCUUUUCUGAUUAAAUUUUGCUUACUUUU